UCUCAGUUUCCGACUGUAGCUCAUCUUUCAGUCUCUGAUUCUCUUGGACCAUGUUAGAUAAUUGAACACAUUCCUGGCCAAUAGCGAUCUUGAUAUCCUCGAGAAGUUCAGGCAGGCUACGAUUUGAAACCCGCUGUUGCUUCAUCAGUGCCUUCAAAACAACCUGAAGCCAGUCAAAGUCUUGAUCUUUAUCACCAUCAUCAUCACCACUAGUAACAUUCUUCGAGGAGGCAUCGUCGCCAACUGAAACGAUGGCGAAUUUCUCCAUCUCGACAAAGUCAUCCAUCAGACUCAUGUCCA
rnacentral:lncRNA from 1 species